rnacentral:rRNA from 1 species
CGUAGGGUGCAAGCGUUAAUCGGAAUUACUGGGCGUAAAGCGUACGCAGGCGGCUUUGCAAGACAGGUGUGAAAUCCCCGGGCUAACCUGGGAACUGCAUUUGUGACUGCAUGGCUAGAGUUUGUCAGAGGGGGGUGGAAUUCCACGUGUAGCAGUGAAAUGCGUAGAUAUGUGGAGGAACACCGAUGGCGAAGGCAGCCCCCUGGGAUGUGACUGACGCUCAUGUACGAAAGCGUGGGGAGCAAACAGGAUUAGAUACCCUGGUAGUCCACGCCCUAAACGAUGUCGACUAGUUGUCGGAGGGUAACUCCUUCGGUAACGCAGCUAACGCGUGAAGUCGACCGCCUGGGGAGUACGGUCGCAAGAUUA